AUGAGAAAUCACCUACAAAUAAUACAUAUAAUAUUAGCCCUUCGAAAUCGGAUUAUAUAUAAACCACACAAAAAUUACAACAACAGUUGCAAAAAGAGAUUCUCAAUUAUAAAUCAUACAGAAAAAAUUCAAAUUUCUUCAAUAAAAUCAACACCCAUAAACGAUAAAUUCAACAAACUAAUUAACCAAAGCAACUCAAUACACAUAUUCAGAAACUACAAACAUAACUUAAAAAAAUAA